rnacentral:rRNA from 1 species
AUACGGAGAGUGCGAGCGUUAAUCGGAAUUACUGGGCGUAAAGGGUGCGUAGGCGGCUUGAUAAGUCGGAUGUGAAAGCCCCGGGCUUAACCUGGGAAUUGCAUUCGAUACUGUCAGGCUAGAGUAUGUCAGAGGUUGGCGGAAUUCCUGGUGUAGCGGUGAAAUGCGUAGAUAUCAGGAGGAACACCAGUGGCGAAGGCGGCUAACUGGGGCAAUACUGACGCUGAGGCACGAAAGCGUGGGGAGCAAACAGGAUUAGAUACCCUAGUAGUCC